UACGUAGGCAGCGAGCGUUGUUCGGAGUUACUGGGCGUAAAGGGUGUGUAGGCGGUUCUUUAAGUUUGGUGUGAAAUCUCCCGGCUCAACUGGGAGGGUGCCGUGCAGACGGCGCAGCUUGAGGGUCGGAGAGGGGCGUGGAAUUCCGGGUGGAGCGGUGAAAUGCGUAGAGAUCCGGAGGAACACCGAUGGCGAAGGCAGCUUGCUGGGACGUGACUGACGCUGAGACGCGAAAGCGUGGGGAGCAAACAGG
rnacentral:rRNA from 1 species